AACGAACGCUGGCGGCAUGCCUAACACAUGCAAGUCGAACGAGACCUUCGGGUCUAGUGGCGCACGGGGGCGUAACGCGUGGGAACCUGCCCUUAGGUUCGGAAUAACUCCCCGAAAGGGGUGCUAAUACCGGAUAAUGUCUUCGGACCAAAGAUUUAUCGCCUUUGGAUGGGCGCGCGUUGGAUUAGCUAGUUGGGAGGGUAAAAGCCUACCAAGGCGACGAUCCAGGGCUGGUGGGAGAGGAUGAUCAGCCACACUGGGACUGAGACACGGCCGAGACUGCGACGGGAGGGAGCAGUGGGGAAGAUUGGAGGAUGGGCGAAGGCGUGGUAACGCAGGGCGGGGGGAGUGAGGCAGGGGUUAGGGUUGUAAAGCGGUUUGAGCCGGGAUGAUAAUGACGGUACCGGGAGAAUAAGCGCCGGCUAACUCCGUG
rnacentral:rRNA from 1 species